AUGAACGCUAGCUACAGGCUUAACACAUGCAAGUCGAGGGGCAUCAGGAAGAAAGCUUGCUUUCUUUGCUGGCGACCGGCGCACGGGUGAGUAACACGUAUCCAACCUGCCCUUUACUCGGGGAUAGCCUUUCGAAAGAAAGAUUAAUACCCGAUAGCAUAAUGAUUCCGCAUGGUUUCAUUAUUAAAGGAUUCCGGUAAAGGAUGGGGAUGCGUUCCAUUAGGUUGUUGGUGAGGUAACGGCUCACCAAGCCUUCGAUGGAUAGGGGUUCUGAGAGGAAGGUCCCCCACAUUGGAACUGAGACACGGUCCAAACUCCUACGGGAGGCAGCAGUGAGGAAUAUUGGUCAAUGGGCGCUAGCCUGAACCAGCCAAGUAGCGUGAAGGAUGAAGGCUCUAUGGGUCGUAAACUUCUUUUAUAUAAGAAUAAAGUGCAGUAUGUAUACUGUUUUGUAUGUAUUAUAUGAAUAAGGAUCGGCUAACUCCGUGCCAGCAGCCGCGGUAAUACGGAGGAUCCGAGCGUUAUCCGGAUUUAUUGGGUUUAAAGGGAGCGUAGGUGGACUGGUAAGUCAGUUGUGAAAGUUUGCGGCUCAACCGUAAAAUUGCAGUUGAUACUGUCAGUCUUGAGUACAGUAGAGGUGGGCGGAAUUCGUGGUGUAGCGGUGAAAUGCUUAGAUAUCACGAAGAACUCCGAUUGCGAAGGCAGCUCACUGGACUGCAACUGACACUGAUGCUCGAAAGUGUGGGUAUCAAACAGGAUUAGAUACCCUGGUAGUCCACACAGUAAACGAUGAAUACUCGCUGUUUGCGAUAUACAGUAAGCGGCCAAGCGAAAGCAUUAAGUAUUCCACCUGGGGAGUACGCCGGCAACGGUGAAACUCAAAGGAAUUGACGGGGGCCCGCACAAGCGGAGGAACAUGUGGUUUAAUUCGAUGAUACGCGAGGAACCUUACCCGGGCUUAAAUUGCAGUGGAAUGAUGUGGAAACAUGUCAGUGAGCAAUCACCGCUGUGAAGGUGCUGCAUGGUUGUCGUCAGCUCGUGCCGUGAGGUGUCGGCUUAAGUGCCAUAACGAGCGCAACCCUUAUCUUUAGUUACUAACAGGUUAUGCUGAGGACUCUAGAGAGACUGCCGUCGUAAGAUGUGAGGAAGGUGGGGAUGACGUCAAAUCAGCACGGCCCUUACGUCCGGGGCUACACACGUGUUACAAUGGGGGGUACAGAAGGCAGCUAGCGGGUGACCGUAUGCUAAUCCCAAAAUCCUCUCUCAGUUCGGAUCGAAGUCUGCAACCCGACUUCGUGAAGCUGGAUUCGCUAGUAAUCGCGCAUCAGCCACGGCGCGGUGAAUACGUUCCCGGGCCUUGUACACACCGCCCGUCAAGCCAUGGGAGCCGGGGGUACCUGAAGUACGUAACCGCAAGGAUCGUCCUAGGGUAAAACUGGUGACUGGGGCU
rnacentral:rRNA from 1 species